CCCCGGCGAGGGGAGUGAAAAAGAACCUGAAACCGUGUACGUACAAGCAGUGGGAGCCUCUUAAUGGGGUGACUGCGUACCUUUUGUAUAAUGGGUCAGCGACUUAUAUUCUGUAGCAAGGUUAACCGAAUAGGGGAGCCGAAGGGAAACCGAGUCUUAACUGGGCGUUAAGUUGCAGGGUAUAGACCCGAAACCCGGUGAUCUAGCCAUGGGCAGGUUGAAGGUUGGGUAACACUAACUGGAGGACCGAACCGACUAAUGUUGAAAAAUUAGCGGAUGACUUGUGGCUGGGGGUGAAAGGCCAAUCAAACCGGGAGAUAGCUGGUUCUCCCCGAAAGCUAUUUAGGUAGCGCCUCGUGAAUUCAUCUCCGGGGGUAGAGCACUGUUUCGGCAAGGGGGUCAUCCCGACUUACCAACCCGAUGCAAACUGCGAAUACCGGAGAAUGUUAUCACGGGAGACACACGGCGGGUGCUAACGUCCGUCGUGAAGAGGGAAACAACCCAGACCGCCAGCUAAGGUCCCAAAGUCAUGGUUAAGUGGGAAACGAUGUGGGAAGGCCCAGACAGCCAGGAUGUUGGCUUAGAAGCAGCCAUCAUUUAAAGAAAGCGUAAUAGCUCACUGGUCGAGUCGGCCUGCGCGGAAGAUGUAACGGGGCUAAACCAUG
rnacentral:rRNA from 1 species